rnacentral:rRNA from 1 species
AACGAACGCUGGCGGCGUGCUUAACACAUGCAAGUCGAACGGAAAGUCCCUGCUUUUUUGGGGUGCUCGAGUGGCGAACGGGUGAGUAACACGGGAGUAACCUGCCUUUGACUUUGGGAUAACUUCAGGAAACUGGGGCUAAUACCGGAUAGGAGCUCCUGCUGCAUGGUGGGGGUUGGAAAGUUUCGGCGGUUGGGGUUGGACGCGCGGCUUAUCAACUUGUUGGUUGGGUAGUGGCUUACCAAGGCUUUGACGGGUGGCCGGCCUGAGAGGGUGACAGGGGACAUUGGGCCUACGAUAGCGACCAGACUGCAAUGGGAGGCAACGGGGGGGAAUAUUGCACAUGGGGACGGAGAAUGAUGCAGUGACGCUGCGUGCGGGAUGCCGGCCUUCGGGUAGUGAACAGCUUUCGUCUGUGACGCAGCGUGAGUGACGGUAACGGGUAAAGAAGCACCGGCUAACUACGUG